CACAGCCGCGCGGGCCACCGCCCGCAGGCCAGACAGAGCUGGCUCUGCCCCCCCCUGGUCCUCCCCGGUCCGCGGCAGCACUUCCUGGGGGGAGUUUCUCAGCAAGUCUCCGGACGGUCCUCGGGGCCGGGCUGCUCCUCCCCCCUUCCCAGUGAGACACCAGCUCCCAGCUGUUCCCACCACGCGGAGGCCCAGCUCAGCCGUUGGAGAAAAAAAAGCUCAGGAUCUGCCAUCGGUUCAGAACUCCAGUUAGUAAAUACCUCCACUCGGUUUGCUCCGCUCGUCUUUCCAGUCGAGCGUUCAUCACGAUAAGCCGUUACCAUCCGUCACCACACAAAGUCGUCACAACAUCGCUGACUUCGCUCCCUGUGCUGUACACAGCACCCCUGGGACUUGCUCAUUUU